GAAUUGAAACAAUAAGAGUGAAAGGAAAGGUUAAGCACGACGCUGCAGACACUCUCUUUUCUUCUUUGCUUCGCACGAGAAUAGGCCAACUGGUUUUCAUCGGAGUGAGGGAGAUUGCAGCCUUCUUGGAUGUGAUGAGCCCAUCCUAGUUGUAAGAGGUAUUUGUUGAUUUUUUUUUUCCAACGAGUUCUUUAAAAAUCGCUUUGAAAUUUGAUAUGUCACUGAAAUGGGGUUUGGGUAAUGGGGGUUUUGCUAGGGAUAUUAGCUGUCACCGAUGUCGUAUGGACUAAUUGACAGCCACUGCAAUCAAUUUCUUGGAAGAAGUUGGAGACAUAUUCCUAACAACUCAACAGAACCUUUAGGAGUAAUGGUCUUGAAGUCUUGAGGAGUGUUCCCAGAACGUUGGUACUGGAUUGGAGUAGUAGCUUUAUUUGGAUUUAUUCUUCUAUUAAACUUCCUUUUUAUCUUGGCAGUUCAGUAUUUUC
rnacentral:lncRNA from 1 species